rnacentral:tRNA from 1 species
GGCGCUAUAGUGUAGUGGUGAUCACUCGGGAUUUUGACAUCUUUGCUUUCCCGAAACCCAGGUUCGAACCCUGGUAGCGCCU